CCUACGGGAGGCAGCAGUGGGGAAUAUUGCACAAUGGGGGAAACUCUGAUGCAGCGACGCCGCGUGAGUGAAGAAGUACUUCUGUAUGUAAAGCUCUUUCAGUAGGGAAGUUAAUGACGGUACCUGACUAAGAAGCCCCGGCUAACUACGUUCCAGCAGCCGCGGUAAUACGCAGGGGGCAAGCGUUAUCCGGAUUUACCGGGUGUAAAGGGUGCGUAGGUGGCAGGGCAAGUCAGAUGUGAAAGCCCGGGGCUCAACCCCGGUACUGCAGUUGAAACUGUCCAGCUGGAGUGCAGGAGAGGUAAGCGGAAUUCGUGGUGUAGCGGUGAAAUGCGUAGAUAUUAGGAGGAACGCCGGUGGCGAAGGCGGCUUACUGGACUGUAACUGACACUGAGGCACGAAAGCGUGGGGAGCAAACAGGAUUAGAUACCCCAGUAGUC
rnacentral:rRNA from 1 species